ACGACCUAACCCUAACCCUCAUUUCUCUCAGAUAGCUGCCCCCAAACUCUCUUCUUCUCUCAAACGUUCCCUAGCACUCCCUCGUCUUCUCCGAUCAAUCUCACCCGAGUUCAUGGCUUCUCAUUCCAUGGAUGGCCUAUGCUCACCUUCCCCCCCUUCCCCAAGCCUUGGUUGUUCGAGAUUUUAAGGACCGACUGCGAGGGUUUUCGACCAGAUCCUCCAUAGAUCUAUGGUUCUGUGGCCUCUCCAACUGUGUUCCUACAUGUUCGAGCUUUAAGAGCCUACCUAUGGCUCAUAUCUAUUCAAGACCA
rnacentral:lncRNA from 1 species